rnacentral:rRNA from 1 species
GUCAUGCAGUCGAACGAGAAAGCGUUCUCCGGAACGUGAGUACAGUGGCGGACGGGUGAGUAACACGUGGGGAACCUGCCCUCAAGCUGGGAACAACCCGCCUAACGGCGGGCUAAUACCGAAUGUGGUUGUCAGUCCGCAUGGUAUGACAACUAAAGGUGGCCUCUCCUUGGAAGCUACCGCUUGUGGAUGGCCCCGCGCUCAAUUAGCUAGUUGGUAGGGUAACGGCCUACCAAGGCGACGAUUGAUAGCCGACCUGAGAGGGUGAUCGGCCACACUGGGAUUGAGAUAAGGCCCAGUCUCCUACGGGAGCCAGCAGUCUAGAAAUUUGGGCAAUGGGCGAAAGCCUGACCCAGCGACGCCGCGUGGGGGAUGAAGCUUCUCGGAGUGUAAACCCCUGUUAGUGGGACGAAAGCCCGUUUACGAAUAGUAGGCGGGUUUGACGGUACCACCAGAGGAAGCUCCGGCUAACUCCGUGCCAGCAGCCGCGGUAAUACGGGGGGAGCAAGCGUUGUUCGGAGUUAUUGGGCGUAAAGGGCGUACAGGCGGUGGUGUCAGUCAGAUGUGAAAUCCCCCGGCUCAACCGGGGACCUGCAUUUGAUACUGCAUCACUUGAGUACAGGAGAGGAGAGCGGAAUUUUCGGUGUAGCGGUGGAAUGUGUAGAUAUCGAAAAGAACACCAGUGGCGAAGGCGGCUCUCUGGCCUGAUACUGACGCUGACGCGCGAAAGCUAGGGGAGCAAACAGGAUUAGAUACCCUGGUAGUCCUAGCCGUAAACGUUGGGCACUAGGUGUUGGAGGUAUCGACCCCUUCAGUGCCGAAGCUAACGCAUUAAGUGCCCCGCCUGGGGAGUACGGCCGCAAGGCUGAA